AACACGUUUGUACUGUUAAACUGCAGAUGGCUCAUUAAAACAGUUACAGUUUAUUUGACAUUUGAAGUAAUGCAGAUAACCGUGGUAACUUAGGGCUAAUACGUGACGAAAAUCCUGCUUGCAGGAGGUGCUUAUUAGCUUAAAACCAAUUGUGGUUGAAAAAUAAUAAAUAACGGAUCGCGUUGGCUUUGCCGGCGACUUGUCAUUAAAAUUUCUGACUUAUCAGCUAGACGGUAAGGUAUUGGCUUACCGUGGCUAUGACGAGUAACGGGGAAUUUUGGUUCGAUUCCGGAGAGGCAGCCUGAGAAACGGCUACCACAUCCACGGAAGGCAGCAGGUGCGCAAAUUGCUCAAUGUUGACUAAACGAAGCAGUGACCAGGCAUAACGAGAGCAGCUGCAAAGUUGCGAUUUGGAAUGAGAACAAUGUAAAAGCCUUAUCGAUUAACAAGCGGAGGGCAAGUCUGGUGCCAGCAGCCGCGGUAAUACCAGCUCCGCUAGCGUAUAUUAAAGUUGUUGCUGUUAAAAAGCUCGUAGUUGGAUAUCAGGGCGCCGCGCGAUGCCCAGCCGUAUCGGCUGCGCGCAAGGCUAACGCCGCCGCGCGGCGCCCUUACUUCAGGAGCAUCUAUCUGGCCAUUGAAUUGGCUGGGUCUUUGGUCCUGAUCUUUUACUUUGAGAAAAUUAAAGUGCUCAAAGCAGGCAGCCGCCUGGAUGCAUUAGCAUGGAAUAAUAAGACGAGACUUUGGCGCCACGCAUGUGGACGUUUUGUUGGUUUUGGGCUGAAGUAAUGGUUGAUAGGAACAAUUGGGGGUGCUAGUAUCGCCGGGCUAGAGGUAAAAUUCUUUGAUUCCGGUGAGACUGACUUAUGCGAAAGCAUUCACCAAGUUUGUUUUCUUUAAUCAAGAACUAAAGUUGGGGGAUCGAAGACGAUCAGAUACCGUCGUAGUCCCAACUAUAAACCAUGUCGACUAAGUGUUGGGCAAGUUUUGCUUGCUCAGAACUUUGCGAGAAAUCAAAGUUUUCGGACUCAGGGGGAAGUAUGCUCGCAAGAGUGAAACUUAAAGGAAUUGACGGAUGGGCACCACAAGUUGUGGAGCCUGCGGCUUAAUUUGAUUCAACACGGGAAACCUUCCCAAGUCCAGACAUAGCAAGGAUUGACAGAUUCAAGUUCUUUCUUGAUUCUAUGCAUGGUGGUGCAUGGCCGUUCUUAGUUGGUGGAGUGAUCUGUCUGGUUAAUUCCGAUAACGAACGAGACCUCAGCCAUCUAAAUAGCUGUCGCUAACGCGUUAGCGCCCGCUCGCGGGCUCAGCUUCUUAGAGGGACCGUCUGUGUCUAGCAGAAGGAGGUUUGAGGCAAUAACAGGUCAGUGAUGCCCUUAGAUGCUCUGGGCUGCACGCGCGCUACAAUGAGGCACGCAGCGAGUUCCUGGCUCGCGAGAGCUGGGGAAUCUGCAAAGCGCCUCAAAGUGGGGAUAGGUGAUUGCAAUUAUUCAUCAUGAACAAGGAAUAUCUAGUAAACGCAAGUCAUCAACUUGCAUUGAUUACGUCCCUGCCCAUUGUACACACCGCCCGUCGCUUCUACCGAUUGAAUUGCAAGGUGAAUUGGACGGAUCGGCCGGCCCGCCGGUCGAGAAGUCUCGUGAAUCCUGUAAUUUAGAGGAAGGAAAAGUCGUAACAAGGUUUUM
rnacentral:rRNA from 1 species